rnacentral:rRNA from 1 species
CAGUCGCCGCGGUAAUACGAAGGGGGCUAGCGUUGUUCGGAUUUACUGGGCGUAAAACGCACGUAGGCGGAUCGAUCAGUCAGGGGUGAAAUCCUGGAGCUCAACUCCAGAACUGCCUUUGAUACUGUCGAUCUCGAGUCCGGAAGAGGUGAGUGGAACUCCUAGUGUAGAGGUGGAAUUCGUAGAUAUUAGGAAGAACACCAGUGGCGAAGGCGGCUCACUGGUCCGGUACUGACGCUGAGGUGCGAAAGCGUGGGGAGCAAACAGGAUUAGAUACCCGCGUAGUCCCUGUCUCUUAUAC